rnacentral:rRNA from 1 species
UACGAAGGGGGCUAGCGUUGUUCGGAAUCACUGGGCGUAAAGCGCACGUAGGCGGCGCGUUAAGUCAGGGGUGAAAUCCUGGAGCUCAACUCCAGAACUGCCUUCAAAACUGGUAGGCUCGAGUCCGGAAGAGGGGCGUGGAAUUCCCAGUGUAGAGGUGAAAUUCGUAGAUAUUAGGAAGAACACCAGUGGCUAAGGCGGAUCACUGGUCCGGUUCUGACGCUGAGGUGCGAAAGCAUGGGGAGCAAACAGG